rnacentral:rRNA from 1 species
UCGGGAAUUUUGGGCAACGGGCGAAAGCCUGACCCAGCAACGCCGCGUGAGGGAUGAAGUAUUUCGGUAUGUAAACCUCGAAAGAAUGGGAAGAAUAAAUGACGGUACCAUUUAUAAGCUCCGGCUAACUACGUGCCAGCAGCCGCGGUAAUACGUAGGGAGCAAGCGUUGUUCGGAUUUACUGGGUGUAAAGGGCGCGCAGGCGGGAUAAAAAGUCAGUGGUGAAAUCCUACAGCUUAACUGUAGAACUGCCUUUGAUACUUUUAUUCUUGAGUUCGGGAGAGAGAGACGGAAUUCCAGGUGUAGUGGUGAAAUACGUAGAUAUCUGGAAGAACACCAGUUGCGAAGGCGGUCUCUUGGUCCGACACUGACGCUGAGGCGCGAAAGCGUGGGGAGCAAACA